GGUCAGGUCAGGCCGCCUAGCUGCAGGUCAGGUCAGGUCCGCUAGCUGCAGGUCAGGUCAGGCCGCCUAGCGGCAGGUCAGGUCAGGCCGCCUAGCGGCAGGUCAGGUCAGGUCCGCUAGCGGCAGGUCAGGUCAGGUCGCCUAGCUGCAGGUCAGGUCAGGCCGCCUAGCGGCAGGUCAGGUCGCCUAGCGGCGGUUAAGAGAUUUGGGCUAGUAACUGAAAGGUCGCUGGUUCGAAUCCCCCAAACCAGGUGAAAAAUCUGCCCGAUGUGCCCUUGAGCAAGGCACUUAACAUGAAUUGCUCCUGUAAGUCGUUUUGGAUAAGAGCGUCUGCUAAAUGACAUGAAUGUAAGUGGAAUGUUGAACAUCCCCUUCUCUAAUACCUGUUUUAUUAGAGCAUGUUCAGUUCUGUCAGUGUAAAGGCAUGUCAUCACCUGUCAGCAGUGCUGUGAAUAAGCCCCACUUGUUACAACAGGCUACGCUGGGUGCAGACAGAGAUGACCCAGAACUGACAGGAAUUAAUUAGCCAUUUCACAUUAUGGAUCAUGACCACACUGACUGUAUCAAUAUUCUGACUGUAUAGUGCAAAUGCCACAUAGCAAUUAUUAAUUUGAAUAAUUAGGGAUUUAUAAAACUAAAAAGAAUGUUAAUUACAUUAUACACAGGUCCAACGACAUGUAGUCAUUGCACUGUUAUCAGAAAUACACAAUUUAC
rnacentral:lncRNA from 1 species